UCAGUAGAAGUGUAGUGGUUAGGAUUCGGCGCUCUCACCGCUGAGGCCCAGGUUUGAUUCCCGAUCAAGGAA
rnacentral:tRNA from 1 species